AUUGGGUAGGGGAGCGUUCUGUAAGCCGUUGAAGGUGUGUUGUAAAGCAUGCUGGAGGUAUCAGAAGUGCGAAUGCUGACAUGAGUAACGACAAGGGGGGUGAAAAACCUCCCCGCCGGAAGACCAAGGGUUCCUGUCCAACGUUAAUCGGGGCAGGGUAAGUCGACCCCUAAGGCGAGGCCGAAAGGCGUAGUCGAUGGGAAACGGGUUAAUAUUCCCGUACUUCUUACAAUUGCGAUGGGGGGACGGAGAAGGCUAGGUGGGCCUGGCGACGGUUGUCCAGGUUCAAGUGCGUAGGCUGAGUGUUUAGGUAAAUCCGGACACUCUUAAGGCUGAGACACGACGUCGAGCUACUACGGUAGUGAAGUCAUUGAUGCCAUGCUUCCAGGAAAAGCCUCUAAGCUUCAGAUUGUAAGGAAUCGUACCCCAAACCGACACAGGUGGUCGGGUAGAGAAUACCAAGGCGCUUGAGAGAACUCGGGUGAAGGAACUAGGCAAAAUGGUACCGUAACUUCGGGAGAAGGUACGCUCUUGAUGGUGAAGUCCCUUGCGGAUGGAGCUGACGAGAGUCGCAGAUACCAGGUGGCUGCAACUGUUUAUUAAAAACACAGCACUGUGCAAAAUCGUAAGAUGACGUAUACGGUGUGACGCCUGCCCGGUGCCGGAAGGUUAAUUGAUGGGGUUAGCGUAAGCGAAGCUCUUGAUCGAAGCCCCGGUAAACGGCGGCCGUAACUAUAACGGUCCUAAGGUAGCGAAAUUCCUUGUCGGGUAAGUUCCGACCUGCACGAAUGGCGUAAUGAUGGCCACGCUGUCUCCACCCGAGACUCAGUGAAAUUGAAAUCGCUGUGAAGAUGCAGUGUACCCGCGGCUAGACGGAAAGACCCCGUGAACCUUUACUACAGCUUGGCACUGAACAUUGAACCUACAUGUGUAGGAUAGGUGGGAGGCUUUGAAGACGUGACGCCAGUUGCGUUGGAGCCGUCCUUGAAAUACCACCCUUGUAUGUUUGAUGUUCUAACGUUGGCCCCUAAUCGGGGUUGCGGACAGUGCCUGGUGGGUAGUUUGACUGGGGCGGUCUCCUCCCAAAGAGUAACGGAGGAGCACGAAGGUGGGCUAAUCACGGUUGGACAUCGUGAGGUUAGUGCAAUGGCAUAAGCCCGCUUAACUGCGAGAAUGACGGUUCGAGCAGGUGCGAAAGCAGGUCAUAGUGAUCCGGUGGUUCUGAAUGGAAGGGCCAUCGCUCAACGGAUAAAAGGUACUCCGGGGAUAACAGGCUGAUACCGCCCAAGAGUUCAUAUCGACGGCGGUGUUUGGCACCUCGAUGUCGGCUCAUCACAUCCUGGGGCUGAAGUCGGUCCCAAGGGUAUGGCUGUUCGCCAUUUAAAGUGGUACGCGAGCUGGGUUUAGAACGUCGUGAGACAGUUCGGUCCCUAUCUGCCGUGGGCGUUGGAAGAUUGAAGGGGGCUGCUCCUAGUACGAGAGGACCGGAGUGGACGAACCUCUGGUGUUCGGGUUGUGUCGCCAGACGCAUUGCCCGGUAGCUAAGUUCGGAAUCGAUAACCGCUGAAAGCAUCUAAGCGGGAAGCGAGCCCUGAGAUGAGUCUU
rnacentral:rRNA from 1 species